ACCUGGCGGCAGCUUACACAUGCAAGUCGAACGGUAGCAGGAAGAAGCUUGCUUCUUUGCUGACGAGUGGCGGACGGGUGAGUAAUGCUUGGGAAUCUGGCUUAUGGAGGGGGAUAACUACUGGAAACGGUAGCUAAUACCGCGUAAUGUCUUAGGACUAAAGGGUGGGACCGUAAGGCCACCUGCCAUAAGAUGAGCCCAAGUGGGAUUAGGUAGUUGGUGAGGUAAAGGCUCACCAAGCCCGCGAUCUCUAGCUGGUCUGAGAGGAUGACCAGCCACACUGGAACUGAGACACGGUCCAGACUCCUACGGGAGGCAGCAGUGGGGAAUAUUGCACAAUGGGGGGAACCCUGAUGCAGCCAUGCCGCGUGAAUGAAGAAGGCCUUCGGGUUGUAAAGUUCUUUCAGUGACGAGGAAGGCGAUUGUUUUAAUAGAGCAGUCGAUUGACGUUAAUCACAGAAGAAGCACCGGCUAACUCCGUGCCAGCAGCCGCGGUAAU
rnacentral:rRNA from 1 species